GCCUCGGUGGUGCAAUGGAUAAGCACGGCGUACCCAAUAUCUGUACGUGCGGGUUCAAGUCCCGGCUGAGGUU
rnacentral:tRNA from 1 species